rnacentral:rRNA from 1 species
GACGAACGCUGGCGGCGUGCUUAACACAUGCAAGUCGAACGGAAAGGCCCUGCUUGCAUGGUACUCGAGUGGCGAACGGGUGAGUAACACGUGGGUGAUCUGCCCUGCACUUCGGGAUAAGCCUGGGAAACUGGGUCUAAUACCCGAUAUGAGCCCUCUUUCGGGUGAUGGUUGGAAAGUUUUUUGGGUGUAGGAUGGGCUGGCGGGCUAUCAGCUUGCUGGUGGGGUAAUGGCCUACCAACGCGGCGACUGGUAGCCGGCCUGGGAGGGUGGACGGGCAACAUGGGGAUGGGGUACCGGCCAGGCUCCUACGGGGAGCAACAGUGGGGGAUAUUGCAAAAUGGGGGGAAGGCUGAUGCAACGACGCCGCGGGGGGGGUGACGGCCUUCGGGUUGUAAACUCCUUUCGGUAGGGACGGAGCUGUUAGUGACGGUACCUAGAUAAGAAGCACCGGCUAACUACGUG